GAUGAACGCUGGCGGCGUGCCUAAUACAUGCAAGUCGAGCGAACAGACGAGGAGCUUGCUCCUCUGACGUUAGCGGCGGACGGGUGAGUAACACGUGGAUAACCUACCUAUAAGACUGGGAUAACUUCGGGAAACCGGAGCUAAUACCGGAUAAUAUAUUGAACCGCAUGGUUCAAUAGUGAAAGACGGUUUUGCUGUCACUUAUAGAUGGAUCCGCGCCGCAUUAGCCAGUUGGUAAGGUAACGGCUUACCAAGGCAACGAUGCGUAGCCGACCUGAGAGGGUGAUCGGCCACACUGGAACUGAGACACGGUCCAGACUCCUACGGGAGGCAGCAGUAGGGAAUCUUCCGCAAUGGGCGAAAGCUUGACGGAGCAACGCCGCGUGAGUGUUGAAGGUCUUCGGAUCGUAAAACUCUGUUAUUAGGGAAGAACAAAUGUGUAAGUAACUAUGCACGUCUUGACGGUACCUAAUCAGAAAGCCACGGCUAACUACGUG
rnacentral:rRNA from 1 species